rnacentral:rRNA from 1 species
AGGCCAGACUCCUACGGGAGGCAGCAGUGGGGAAUAUUGGACAAUGGGGGGAACCCUGAUCCAGCGACGCCGCGUGAGUGAAGAAGUAUUUCGGUAUGUAAAGCUCUAUCAGCAGGGAAGAAAGAAAUGACGGUACCUGACUAAGAAGCCCCGGCUAACUACGUGCCAGCAGCCGCGGUAAUACGUAGGGGGCAAGCGUUAUCCGGAUUUACUGGGUGUAAAGGGAGCGUAGACGGCGAUGCAAGUCUGAAGUGAAAGGCGGGGGCCCAACCCCCGGACUGCUUUGGAAACUGUAUAGCUGGAGUGCAGGAGAGGUAAGUGGAAUUCCUAGUGUAGCGGUGAAAUGCGUAGAUAUUAGGAGGAACACCAGUGGCGAAGGCGGCCGCCUGGCCUGUUGCUGACGCUGAGGCACGAAAGCGUGGGGAGCAAAUAGGAUUAGAUACCCCAGUA